rnacentral:rRNA from 1 species
UACGGGGGGGGGCAAGCGUUGUUCGGAAUUACUGGGCGUAAAGGGCGCGUAGGCGGCCCGCUAAGUUAGAUGUGAAAACUCUGGGCUCAACCCAGAGCCUGCAUCUAAUACUGACGGGCUAGAGUUCUGGAGGGGGUAGCGGAAUUCCUGGUGUAGCGGUGAAAUGCGUAGAUAUCAGGAGGAACACCGGUGGCGAAGGCGGCUACCUGGACAGAGUCUGACGCUGAGGCGCGAAAGCUAGGGGAGCAAACAGG